UAAAUUGCCGUGGUAUCUUGACCAUGCUAAGGUAGCGUAAUCAUUUGGCCUUUAAUUGAGGUCUGGUAUGAAGGGUUGAACGCGAGCCCAACUUUAUUAAUUUAAAAAAUAGAACUUAUUUUAUAGGUGAAGAAACCUAUGUAAAUUCAGAGGACAAGAAGACCCUAUCGAGCUUUAUUGGUUUGUGUAUUGCUACGUAUCACAAUUUAGUUGGGGCAACUAGUGGAGUAACUCCUCGCUGAUCGAGAAUUUUUCAUAAGGGGAAGCUACCGUAGGGAUAACAGCAUAAUUUUUUUAUAGAGUUCUUAUUAAAAAAAAAGAUUGUGACCUCGAUGUUGGAUUAGGGUAUCCUUAAGGUGUAGAUUUUUAAAAGGUUAGUCUGUUCGACUAUUAAAAUCCUAC
rnacentral:rRNA from 1 species